rnacentral:lncRNA from 1 species
CGUCCACCAUUGCUGAAUUGCCUGCAAUUAAAAGGAGUAAAUCAAUCAGUAUAAUAUAAACAAAACAUAUUUAGAAACAUAUGCAAAAUAAACUAAACAUAUUUAGACAUGCUCAGGUACAUAUCCUCGAACCAUCACCGGAAGUAGGCGCUCAAGCCACAUGUGGUAAUCAUGACUCUUCAGGCCGUUGAUUCGCAUAGUAGUUAAGUUCACUCCCCUCUUCAAAUUCGCUGCAUACCAAUCAGGGAACAUUAACAUUUGGAACCAUUAUAGUAC